UACAGUCAUAUCAAGUUGGAACACCGGUUCUCAUACGAUCAUCGAAGUUAAGCAAUGUCGUGCCUGGUCAGUGCCUAGAUGGGGGAUCGCUUAUGUAAGCUUGG